rfam:Ovis aries breed Texel chromosome 3, whole genome shotgun sequence.
UCCCUGGUGGCUCAGAUGGUAAAGAAUCUGCCUGCAAUGCAGGAGACCCAGGUUUGAUCCCUGGGUCGGGAA